UUUUUGUUUUCUCUUUCUCCUUUCUUUUUUCAAUUUUUCUUUUUCGUUGUCUUUUUUUAUUUUGUCUUUUUUUUUAUUCCUUGGCUAAAUGCAAUAUGCAAUCAACUUACAAAUAUAAAAUAAUUUUUUAAAAAUAAAAAGACAUCGACGAAAAUAGAAUACAAAUACAAAUAUAAUCUAAAUAUACAAACACAAUAAAAUCAUAAUACAAAUAUAAUCCACUAUAAUAUACAAUUAAUUAUAAAAUACAAAUACAAAACAGAUCUU
rnacentral:lncRNA from 1 species